rnacentral:tRNA from 1 species
GCGCUUUGGACCCUGGUCCUCAUCCUUCCAUUUGGAGUUUGGGUUGCCCAUAGCCUCCAAAGCAGGGUCGCAGGUUCGAUUCCUGCCGGGCGCGCCA